rnacentral:rRNA from 1 species
CUGGGUAUUGAUUGGGUGCUUGCAUCAUGAUUUACAUUUGGAGUGAGUGGCGAACUGGUGAGUAACACGUGGGAAACCUGCCCAGAAGCGGGGGAUAACACCUGGAAACAGAUGCUAAUACCGCAUAACAACUUGGACCGCAUGGUCCGAGUUUGAAAGAUGGCUUCGGCUAUCACUUUUGGAUGGUCCCGCGGCGUAUUAGCUAGAUGGUGGGGUAACGGCUCACCAUGGCAAUGAUACGUAGCCGACCUGAGAGGGUAAUCGGCCACAUUGGGACUGAGACACGGCCCAAACUCCUACGGGAGGCAGCAGUAGGGAAUCUUCCACAAUGGACGAAAGUCUGAUGGAGCAACGCCGCGUGAGUGAAGAAGGGUUUCGGCUCGUAAAACUCUGUUGUUAAAGAAGAACAUAUCUGAGAGUAACUGUUCAGGUAUUGACGGUAUUUAACCAGAAAGCCACGGCUAACUACGUGCCAGCAGCCGCGGUAAUACGUAGGUGGCAAGCGUUGUCCGGAUUUAUUGGGCGUAAAGCGAGCGCAGGCGGUUUUUUAAGUCUGAUGUGAAAGCCUUCGGCUCAACCGAAGAAGUGCAUCGGAAACUGGGAAACUUGAGUGCAGAAGAGGACAGUGGAACUCCAUGUGUAGCGGUGAAAUGCGUAGAUAUAUGGAAGAACACCAGUGGCGAAGGCGGCUGUCUGGUCUGUAACUGACGCUGAGGCUCGAAAGUAUGGGUAGCAAACAGGAUUAGAUACCCUGGUAGUCCAUACCGUAAACGAUGAAUGCUAAGUGUUGGAGGGUUUCCGCCCUUCAGUGCUGCAGCUAACGCAUUAAGCAUUCCGCCUGGGGAGUACGGCCGCAAGGCUGAAACUCAAAGGAAUUGACGGGGGCCCGCACAAGCGGUGGAGCAUGUGGUUUAAUUCGAAGCUACGCGAAGAACCUUACCAGGUCUUGACAUACUAUGCAAAUCUAAGAGAUUAGACGUUCCCUUCGGGGACAUGGAUACAGGUGGUGCAUGGUUGUCGUCAGCUCGUGUCGUGAAAUGUUGGGUUAAUUCCCGCACCAACCGCACCCUUAUUAUCAGUUGCCAGCAUUAAUUUGGGCACUCUGGUGAGACUGCCGGUGACAACCCGAAGAAGGUGGGGAUAACUUCAAUCACCUGCCCCUUUUGACCGGGCUACCACCUGCUAAAUGGAUGGUCACCAAUUGCGAACCCCCAAAAUAACUA